GACAGAGGUGCCGAGCGUUAGGCGGAAUCACUGGGCUUAAAGCGUGUGUAGGCGGGCGAUCAAGUACCUUGUGAAAUCCCACGGCUCAACCGUGGAACCGCUGGGUAUACUGGUUGUCUUGAGCCGGCUAGGGGCGAGCGGAACAGACGGUGGAGCGGUGAAAUGCGUAGAUAUCGUCUGGAACGCCGAAGGUGAAAACAGCUCGCUGGGGCCGCGCUGACGCUGGAGACACGAAAGCCAGGGGAGCGAACGGG
rnacentral:rRNA from 1 species